GGCAAGCGAUUGUGCGCAGCACUGAGCAGGUUGCCACCUAGAGGCGGAGUGGAGGGCGGCGGGAGUGGAGGCUGCCGGUCUCCGGAGGGAAACGGGCUGCGACACAGCUUGAGGGAGGAAGGCUGAAUUCUUUUCAAAAAUUCUCAAGUACUGCAUUUCUGUUUUUGUGCAUUCUAAACUAGGAUUGGCUAGAGAGUUUUGCUGUGUGACAUCUGUCUCUCUUCCUGGGACCAGCUGGAUAGCCUAGGCAUGUUCUUCUCAUGGUGAUGGAAGAAAGGCUCCAUGCCCAGCAUGGAGGCCAGUGUGGG